GUCUAUGGCCAUGCCACCCUGAAUAAUAUACCUAAUCUAAUCUGAUCUCGGAAGCUAAGCAGAGUCAGGAAUGGUUAAUACUAGGGUGGGAAACACAAACAGUAUAUAUAUACAUAGAGA
rnacentral:rRNA from 1 species